rnacentral:rRNA from 1 species
AUUCCGAUAACGAACGAGACUCUGGCCUGCUAAAUAGGCCGGCGGUUUCCGUGCGACCCGGCGUCUGGCGACUCGUCGCCGGCGUUCGGUGCUCGUGCGCGCCGUCGGAUCUUCUUAGAGGGACAAGCGGCGUUUAGCCGCGCGAGAUUGAGCAAUAACAGGUCUGUGAUGCCCUUAGAUGUCCGGGGCCGCACGCGCGCUACACUGAAGGGAUCAGCGUGGCCUCCCCCCUGGCCCGAGAGGGCUGGGAAACCCGUUGAAUCCCCUUCGUGCUAGGGAUCGGGGCUUGUAAUUAUUCCCCGUGAACGAGGAAUUCCCAGUAAGCGCGGGUCAUAAGCCCGCGUUGAUUACGUCCCUGCCCUUUGUACACACCGCCCGUCGCUACUAUCGAUUGAGCGGUUCAGUGAGGGCAUCGGAUCGGUCGCGGCCUGGGGUUCGCGCCCCGGCGCCCCGCGCGCCGAGAAGACGCUCGAACUCGAUCGCUUGGAGAAAGUAAAAGUCGUAACAAGGUUUCCGUAGGU